rnacentral:rRNA from 1 species
GAUGAACGCUGGCGGCGUGCCUAAUACAUGCAAGUCGAGCGAACAGACGAGGAGCUUGCUCCUUUGAUGUUAGCGGCGGACGGGUGAGUAACACGUAGGUAACCUACCUAUAAGACUGGGAUAACUUCGGGAAACCGGAGCUAAUACCGGAUAAUAUUUCGAACCGCAUGGUUCGAUAGUGAAAGAUGGCUUUGCUAUCACUUAUAGAUGGACCUGCGCCGUAUUAGCUAGUUGGUAAGGUAACGGCUUACCAAGGCAACGAUACGUAGCCGACCUGAGAGGGUGAUCGGCCACACUGGAACUGAGACACGGUCCAGACUCCUACGGGAGGCAGCAGUAGGGAAUCUUCCGCAAUGGGCGAAAGCCUGACGGAGCAACGCCGCGUGAGUGAUGAAGGUCUUCGGAUCGUAAAACUCUGUUAUUAGGGAAGAACAAACGUGCAAGUAACUGUGCACGUCUUGACGGUACCUAAUCAGAAAGCCACGGCUAACUACGUG